rnacentral:rRNA from 1 species
GACAGAGGUCCCGAGCGUUAGGCGGAAUCACUGGGCUUAAAGCGUGUGUAGGCGGAUCGUUAAGUGCCUUGUGAAAUCCCACGGCUCAACCGUGGAACUGCUGGGCAUACUGCCGAUCUUGAGCCACUUAGGGGCAACCGGAACAAACGGUGGAGCGGUGAAAUGCGUAGAUAUCGCUUGGAACGCCGAAGGUGAAAACAGGCUGCUGGGGUUGCGCCGACGCUGAGACACGAAAGCCAGGGGAGCAAACGGG